GCUGCCGUAGCUCAGUGGUAGAGCACUCCCUUGGUAAGGGAGAGGUCGGUGGUUCAAUCCCACUCGGCAGCA
rnacentral:tRNA from 1 species